UCUGAAUCACUUUGCUCUUGCCUGGGUUCAGCUUAAACAAGCUGCUCUUCAUCCCAGAGCCCUGGUGUUGCUGCAUUUGCUCAGCUGAGUUCUCAUCCCUCUCUCUGUGUUUGGUUUCAGACUGGAGAAGAAACAUCGUCUGCCCAGGGCUGGGAAGUUCUGCGCCACCUGUACAAGAAGCAAAUGUGACUCUGGAUCCAGACACGGCUCAUCCCCAUCUCAUCCUGUCUGAGGAUGGGAAAAGUGUGAGUUGUGGAGACACACGGCAGGAUCUGCCCGAGAACCCUGAGAG